GAUUUUGAUUCUUUUAUGUGGCAUAAAAGAAUCAAAAUCGAGUUGGAAUCUACCAAUUUGAUUUUGAUUCUUUUAUGCCCAUAAUAAAAUCAACGGUC
rnacentral:pre_miRNA from 1 species